ACAGCAGUCUGCACAUUGUUU
rnacentral:miRNA from 1 species